rnacentral:rRNA from 1 species
AUUGAACGCUGGCGGCAGGCCUAACACAUGCAAGUCGAACGAGUGGCGGACGGGUGAGUAAUGUCUGGGAAACUGCCCGCUGGAGGGGGAUAACUACUGGAAACGGUCGCUAAUACCGCAUACCAUCGGAUGUGCCCAGAUGGGAUUAGCUAGUAGGUUGGGUAACGGCUCACCUAGGCGACGAUCCCUAGCUGGUCUGAGAGGAUGACCAGCCACACUGGAACUGAAACACGGUCCAGACUCCUACGGGAGGCAGCAGUGGGGUAUAUUGCACAAUGGGCGCAAGCCUGAUGCAGCCAUGCCGCGUGUAUGAAGAAGGCCUUCGGAUUGUAAAGUACUUUCAGCGAAGAGGGGUUACUCGCAGAAGAAACACCGGCUAACUCCGUGACAGCGGCCGCGGUAAUUC